rnacentral:lncRNA from 1 species
ACCAAACUAGAACCAAAUUUAUUUAUCAGAAUUAUUGAGUUGGAUGAAACAGAAAAUAAGCCAACAGAACACUUAAAAAUACAAGUUUAUUUUCUCCAUAUUGUUAAGUCUAAUUAUGAUUUAUUUCAAAAUCAUGAAAAGCAGAGCCUAGCAUACCAAAUGCUAGGUCAGAUUUGCUCUGGAAACUUACUUUCUAGAUUAUUUUUUGGACUUACUUAAAAAAUAAUUAAUUUCCAUUAAUAUAGCACUAAUAGCCUCCAAAUUAUACUGCAGAAUUCCUAUAUGUAACCUUUUUUAAAAAAAUAAUUCAUCACCUGAAAAAGAUAUAUUUACUACAGUUAAGUUUUUAAGUCAAGAGUUUUCUCUGGGAAUUGAUAUAUUUUAUCUAUAAUGUCUCCACUUCUCCAUACUUUCAUCAAAGUGUCACUGAAGCAGCUAAAUGCAGUCCUGUGGGGCUAGGUCUACAACAUCUGCUUAGGUUUAUUUUAGUGGACAUGGUUCCAGUCUAAGAGCAAUGGGCCACUGUUCUAGGUCCUAAUGUACAGCCAUAGAGCCAUAGAGAUGAGGUAUUUCGAUUUGAACAGAAGGAACAUUUUGACCCAGGCACUACAUUUACCACUCAUGCAGACGUGGUAGACCGCGUGUGCUAAACUGAACACCAAAGCCAUCAUUCAGACCCACACAGUGCUGGUCUCAUGGACCCAUGCAGUCACACAGAGCCUCAUGCUCAGAAGGGCACUGUGCUUGGUGUGACAACUGCUGUUGCCAUCUCGAAUUUCUUAAUAAUUUUUGAAUGAUGGGACUGCAUUUUCACUGUUCACUGGGCUCUGCAAAUUAUGUCGCCAGUCCUAGAUAUACAUAAAAGUUGCUUUGGCCUGAUUCAUCUGACUUGUGAUCUGUGUUUUCACCUGGCAUUGAAGAUAGAGCUGUGGGUAGUUCCCAGUAGCAGGAUGAUUCUAGUUCUAGAACAUUUUCAAAGGUAUAGAAGUUGUUCGUCAUGUAAUUCACUGCGAACAGGCAAGGAAGAAGAAUCAUCUAGACCUUCAAAGGCCACGCAGGGCUUCCAACUCUGGCUGUGAAUUAGAAUCACCUGAAGAAUCUAGAAAAAUAUUGAUGUCUGGGUCUCAUCCCACAGUAAUUAAAUUAUAACCUGGGAAUGGAGCGCAGGCAAGGGUGUUUUUAUUUUUUAUUUUAUUUUUUUGAGACAGGGUCUCGCUCUGUUAUCCAGGCUGGAGUGUAAG